UACGUAGGGUGCGAGCGUUGUCCGGAAUUACUGGGCGUAAAGAGCUUGUAGGCGGUCUGUCACGUCGAUUGUGAAAACUUGCAGCUCAACUGCAAGCUUGCAGUCGAUACGGGCAGACUAGAGUACUUCAGGGGAGACUGGAAUUCCUGGUGUAGCGGUGAAAUGCGCAGAUAUCAGGAGGAACACCGGUGGCGAAGGCGGGUCUCUGGGAAGUAACUGACGCUGAGAAGCGAAAGCGUGGGUAGCGAAC
rnacentral:rRNA from 1 species